rnacentral:rRNA from 1 species
GUACGAACGGGGACGACGACGGAAACCUAGUGAAGUCUGUCCGACGUGGCGGACGGGUGAGUAACGCGUGGAGUAACCUGCCGCAUGGCAGGGGGAUACCGGACUGGAAACAGCCGCUAAUACCGCAUAAGCGCACGGUGCCGCAUGGCAGAGUGCGAAAAGGAGAAAUCCGGCAAGCGAUGGAUCCGCGUCCGAUUAGCCAGUUGCGGGGUAAGGGCCCACCAAAGCGACGAUCGGUAGCCGGCCUGAGAGGGCGGACGGCCACAUUGGGACUGAGACACGGCCCAGACUCCUACGGGAGGCAGCAGUGGGGGAUAUUGCACAAUGGGGAAACCCUGAUGCAGCGACGCCGCGUGGGUGAAGAAGUAUUUCGGUAUGUAAAGCCCUAUCAGCAGGGAAGAAAGAAGACGGUACCUGACUAAGAAGCCCCGGCUAACUACGUG